UGCAGUAGAACGCUGAGGAAGGAGCUUGCUCUUUCUGGAUGAGUUGCGAACGGGUGAGUAACGCGUAGGUAACCUGCCUGGUAGCGGGGGAUAACUAUUGGAAACGAUAGCUAAUACCGCAUAACAGUAGAUGUUGCAUGAUAUCUGCUUGAAAGGGGCAAUUGCUCCACUACCAGAUGGACCUGCGUUGUAUUAGCUAGUUGGUGAGGUAACGGCUCACCAAGGCGACGAUACAUAGCCGACCUGAGAGGGUGAUCGGCCACACUGGGACUGAGACACGGCCCAGACUCCUACGGGAGGCAGCAGUAGGGAAUCUUCGGCAAUGGACGGAAGUCUGACCGAGCAACGCCGCGUGAGUGAAGAAGGUUUUCGGAUCGUAAAGCUCUGUUGUAAGAGAAGAACGAGUGUGAGAGUGGAAAGUUCACACUGUGACGGUAUCUUACCAGAAAGGGACGGCUAACUACGUGCCAGCAGCCGCGGUAAUACGUAGGUCCCGAGCGUUAUCCGGAUUUAUUGGGCGUAAAGCGAGCGCAGGCGGUUAGAUAAGUCUGAAGUUAAAGGCUAUGGCUUAACCAUAGUACGCUUUGGAAACUGUUUAACUUGAGUGCAGAAGGGGAGAGUGGAAUUCCAUGUGUAGCGGUGAAAUGCGUAGAUAUAUGGAGGAACACCGGUGGCGAAAGCGGCUCUCUGGUCUGUAACUGACGCUGAGGCUCGAAAGCGUGGGGAGCAAACAGGAUUAGAUA
rnacentral:rRNA from 1 species